rnacentral:rRNA from 1 species
AGUUUGAUCAUGGCUCAGAAUCAACGCUGGCGGCGUGCCUCAGACAUGCAAGUCGAACGAUUAAAGCUCUCUUCGGAGAGUGUAUAGAGUGGCGCACGGGUGAGUAACACGUAAGUAAUCUACCCUCGAGUGGGGAAUAACAACCGGAAACGGUUGCUAAUACCGCAUAAUGCAGCGGCACCGCAAGGUGACAGUUGUUAAAGAUUUAUCGCUUGAGGAGGAGCUUGCGGCAGAUUAGCUAGUUGGUAGGGUAACGGCUUACCAAGGCUACGAUCUGUAACCGGUCUAAGAGGACGGUCGGUCACACUGACACUGAAUAACGGGUCAGACUCCUACGGGAGGCAGCAGUCGGGAAUUUUGGGCAAUGGGCGAAAGCCUGACCCAGCAACGCCGCGUGAAGGAUGAAGUAUUUCGGUAUGUAAACUUCGAAAGAAUAGGAAGAACUAAUGACGGUACUAUUUAUAAGGUCCGGCUAACUACGUG